UUCGUUUAUUCUUAUGAGUAUUAAUACAGUGACAAACGGCACACAGGCUUUUGAGAAACUUUGUGAUGCAAAUUCCCUGAUUAUUUUGUUUUAAUUAACUUUUUUUUUCAUUAACAAAAUUGUUAUUAGUAGAAGUGGUGUUAGUGUUUCAAAUAUAAUUUGUUUUUUUAAAUGUUUUGCAGGUAUUAUAAUUGUUUUCAUUUAUAAUAACAAACUUAUUAUUUUUACUGCUAUUAUUUAUUUGUUUAAUUAUUUAUUUGUUUCGUUUUAGCAGAUUGUGAAAUAAGGCCUGGGAUCUGAAACCUGAUCAAAAUGGGUUUCCUGACUACAUACAAUUUAAUUUUGUGUAAAAUUCUCCAUUUCUCAGUGUAUUAUUUAAAAGAGCGGAGGAUAGUUUCUGUAAGUCUCUUCUGAAGAUCAUGUGAAACUGAAGACUGGAGUAGUGAUGCUGAAAAUUCAGCUUCGCAUCACAGGAAUAAAUUACAGUUUAACAGAUUCACAUAGAAAACAGUUAUUUUACAUUAUGAAAAUAUUUCACAAAUUUGACUGUAUUUACUGUGUUUCUGAUCAAGUAAAUGCAGCUUUGGUGAGCCGGAGAAACUGUUUUGAACACCAGAUAUCUUGCAGAAUAUUUUAUUCCUAUGUUAAUUUUUAUGUGUAGCUUAUUUUAUGUGUGUGGUUGUGAGAGACAAAAGAAAAAAAAAUGGAAAUGAAUCGAAUGUUUGACAUAUUUGAGUGCGUUUGCAGGAGAAAACUCAAAGAGAGAGCAGGAAAACAGAAGCGUCAGCCUCUAAACCGGAAGAUGAUGAUGAUGAUGAACAAGAUGAAAAUGACAACAAUGAAGAAUCAGGUGGAGAUGAUGAUGAGUUCUCGUCAGGUGAUGAAGAGACACUGAGAGAAAAGCAGAAGAGAGGCAAGAGGAACACGGCAGAAGCUGACAUGAAUCUGUCCAGACCUUUACUGAAGGUGAGACUGACGCCACGUUUAUUAGAAACAUACUGUAAACUUUUAUUCAACUAGGACGCAUUAAAUUGAUGAAAAGUGACAGUAAAGAUAUUAAUAAUGUGACAAAAGAUUCUAUUUCAAAUAAAUGCUGUUCUCUUGAACUUUCUAUUCAUCUCUGAAUCCUGAAA